CGGGACGGGUGAGUAAUGUCUGGGAAACUGCCCGAUGGAGGGGGAUAACUACUGGAAACGGUAGCUAAUACCGCAUAACGUCGCAAGACCAAAGAGGGGACCUUCGGGCCUCUUGCCAUCGGAUGUGCCCAGAUGGGAUUAGCUAGUAGGUGGGGUAAUGGCUCACCUAGGCGACGAUCCCUAGCUGGUCUGAGAGGAUGACCAGCCACACUGGAACUGAGACACGGUCCAG
rnacentral:rRNA from 1 species